rnacentral:rRNA from 1 species
CCUACGGGUGGCAGCAGUGAGGAAGAGGGGGCAAGGGGCGCGAGCCUGAACCAGACAAGGAGCGUGAAGGAGGAAGGCCCGACGGGUUGUAAACUUCUUUUAUAAAGGAAUAAAGUGAGGCACGUGUGCCUUUUUGUAUGUACUGUAGUAAGAAGGAUCGGCCCCCUCCGGGCCGGCAGCCGCGGUAAUACGGAGGAUCCGAGCGUUAUCCGUAUUUAUUGGGUUUAAAGGGAGCGUAGAUGGGUUGUUAAGUCAGUUGUGAAAGUUUGCGGCUAAACCGUAAAAUUGCAAUUGAUACUGGCAGUCUUGAGUACAGUUGAGGUAGGCGGAAUUCGUGGUGUAGCGGUGAAAUGCUUAGAUAUCACGAAGAACUCCGAUUGCGAAGGCAGCUUACUAAACUGCCACUGACAUUGAUGCUCGAAAGUGUGGGUAUCAAACAGGAUUAGAUACCCGAGUAGUC